rnacentral:lncRNA from 1 species
AUGUCACCUUACAAAACUAGCACCCACAAGAUCCUAAUCCAAGUAAGUCCUGAAAUACCAUUAGAACCUCUAUUUACAUUAAACCAUGACAGCCUCAAAUAAGUCAUGAAUUUGAACUUAAAAAUUCUAACAAAUAUACUCUAGCUAAAUUGCAUUUUAACCUAACCUUUAAUCUAGAAUUCUAGUCUAAUUCACAAACCCAUUAAAUUGACUAUUCAAAUUUAAGGUUUCUUUACCUUGAUGAGCUUGAAGGCACAAAGAUCAACAAAAACCUUUUGGCUUUAAAAAUAAAGAUUUGAAGCUGAAAAUUCAAGUGUUGAUGAAGGUGGAGUAGAAAUAUAAAAUGAAAGAAAGAAAGAGAGAUUUUUCUCUCUCUCUCUCUCUCCUAGGAUUUAGAUGUGCUGAAAAAAUGGGGUUAGAAGUUGUGGUUUUGGUGCACAAUAAGGUAGGAGAAGGAAAAAGUAAGAAAAUAAAUGAAAGGAAAAGAAAGGAAGGAAAAG